UCCGGCUUAUCACCGGCAGUCCCACUAGAGUGCCCUACUUAAGGAUGGCAACUAAUGGCGAGGGUUGCGCUCGUUGCGGGACUUAACCCAACAUCUCACGACACGAGCUGACGACAGCCAUGCAGCACCUGUGCACGAUCUCCGAAGAGGGGCUCUCGUUUCUGAGAGCUUGCUCCUGCAUGUCAAGCCUAGGUAAGGUUCUUCGCGUUGCGUCGAAUUAAACCACAUGCUCCACCGCUUGUGCGGGCCCCCGUCAAUUCCUUUGAGUUUCAACCUUGCGGUCGUACUCCCCAGGCGGGGUACUUCCUGCGUUAGCGCCGGCACUCGGAGGGUCGCUCCCCCAAGCACCUAGUGCCCAUCGUUUACGGCGUGGACUAC
rnacentral:misc_RNA from 1 species